ensembl:lncRNA
CUCUCCUCGACCCCGGGCUCAAAAAAUGGAAUUUAGGGUGGACUCUUGAAGACGGAGAAGGGGAGGGAGACCUGAAGGACUAAAUCCAUUCCUUCAUAUUUAUGAGUAGGAUGAGGGGGGAUGGGACAACUUGGCCUGAUCCCUGGGUGGUAGUGCAGAACAGGAUUCAGGAGUCAUAAGUUUAUUUCCCAACUCUACCCCUGUGUCUCUGGAUGAACUUGGAAUAACCUCUCUCCGGACCAUAUUUUCUGCCUUUUUUAAUAUGGUUGAUCACCAGGGUUUCUGAAAUUUAUGGGUCAGUCGCUGGGGGAAAAUUUCUCCUAGUCCCCCUUUCACCACCUCUUAAUCACCUCCCGAGGAGCAAGCAGAUUGCUCCUUGUGGUGGCACCAAGAGGGGUGGGAGGAAAGGAGAUUGUUUGGGUACCAGCUCCCUUUCAUCUCAUGUAUUUGACAGUAAGGGAAGCAGAUCAGACAAGGGUAGCUGAUGGACAAAAGAGGCCAGGGUUUCUUCCCCUGUCCCAUCGUUAUCAGGCCUCUGGACAACACCAGAUGAAAGAAGUAUCUGCGGCUGGGCUCCCAGAGAGACUGGUGUUAAAACUCCCUUUGCUGCAAUGAAGUGGGUCACAGAUGAGCCAUCCAGGCAACCACUCUGCAGGAGGGAGGAUCACAGCAUCCCAGAACCAGAAGUUGGUCCAACCCAUCCCUACAAAAGGAACCCCUCUACAACCCGCCAGACCAAUAAUCAUUCAUCUGCUGCUCAAAGACCUCCAAUGAGGAGAAAUCCACAACUGCCCACACAUUCUACUUUUGAACAGAUCUAACUAUUAGAAAGUUUUUCCUCACUUCAAGCCUAAAUUUCCCUCCUAAAUUACUCCUGGUUUUACCCUCUGGGAUCAAGAAGAAACAAAUUCAUCCCUCUUGCAUAUGGCUGCCCAUGAAACGCUCAAAGGUCACUAUAUUGUCCUCUUUAUCCUCACCAUAGGUUUUUUCUUUGCCAGACUCAUCAUCACCAGUUUAUUCAUAUAAUCCUCAUAUGACAUAGUCCCCAGUUUUCUUAUCACCUUAGUUCCACUUCUCUGGUCACUCUCUAGUUUGUUAAUAUCCUUCCUAAAAUGUCAUACCCAGAUCUCUUUUAAGUGACCAGAGAUCUCAUCUAUUAGUUGGUCAGUCAACAAACAAUUAUGAAUCACCUACUAUGAGUCAGGCACUGUGCUAAGCACUGGAGGCUCAAAGAAAGGCAAAAGACAGUCUCUGCCCAUGAAGAAUAAGGGUGACAACAUACAGACAACAGUGCACAAACAAGAUACACAUAGGAGGAAUUGGAAAUAGUCAACAGAGAGAAGGCACCAGCUGGGAGAAUCUGGAACAGCUUCUUGUGGAAGAAGAGAUUUCAGCUGGGACUUGAAGGAAACCAGAGAAACCUGGAGGCAGAGAUGAAGAGGGAGAGAAUUAGGGCCUGUACCCAACCAAGACUUAAUAUAAUCCAGAGAAUUUAAAAUGGAAAGAACACUGGCUCUGGGCUCAGAGGACUUUGGUUUAAAUAUUGCCUCUGUCGCUUAGCUAACUAUGAGACAACCACCCUGGGCCUCAGUUUCCUUAUUUGUCAAAAUGAAAUCUGUAAAUGCCUUGAAAUUCGAAGUCUUGGAGAGGUACCUGGAACACUAAGAGAUGAAAUGACUUGCCAAGGGUCACGUAGCUUGUGACCUGAACCAAGGUAGGCUUGACUCCAAAGUUCUCUGUGCACUACUCAGAACUGUCUCUUCCCCAUUGUUAUCACAAAUGAAAUCCCUUAGACAAUUGUGAGAGAUGUGCUUGGUUGAAAGAAAGGAGUACAAAAGAAAACCCAGAGCAAGACAUAAAAAGCACUCUGUUCCAGUGUGAAACAGGGAAGAAACAGAUGGUAACAAUCAAAAAAUAGACCAAUGCCUGCAACCAGUAGAGGUUUGCAAACCAGUAUGCAAAUCUAGAGGUAAUCAAUGAGGGUGGGUCACUGCAAAGCCUGUCAGGACUAACAACAUUUCUAGAGUCUUUGGACCUCCUCCCUCCUCACAUCCUUACAUCUGGAUCCAAGAAGCCCUGCUCCCAACCCCAAAACUCCUCUCACCCUCAAUUCCAAAAUUUGUUGUGGAAUUCCGACUCUCCCAGUCUUCCAUCUCAUGCCCCAUCCUUGGACUCUUGCGGCAGGACACAGAAACCACUAUUGUUGUUGUUUGUCCUUCUUACUGGAAGAGGAUAAAUGACAUCUAGAUGUUGGGGGCAAGGUACAGUGUGUUGGGUUGUGACUCCUCAGUCCAAUAUGAGCUUGGAAGGAUCUACUAAAGGUCAGGCACAAAUGGUCCAUUUGGACACUUAGGAUGGAGAUAGAUUUGUGCCUCAUCGCCUGUUCCUUUUGGGCUUCGGCAAUUCUCCUUCACUCAGGGAGCACAAUGCUUUCUUUGAUGCGGGCAUGCCAUGCUGGGAAGUUCUGUGCCAGUGUCUCCUGUGUCUCACAAUCAAUACUAAAGUUCUUCAGAGAGACCAGCAACCAUUUCCAAUGACCUGGAACUGGGAGAAAUUCCUGUUCCCAAGGGGUAAGUGGAGAGAGAAAGAUGGUGGCCUCAAAAUGCCUGCAAGGCCACAAGGGACUAUUCCUGGAACCCUAAAGUAGGAUUCAGAAUACAUUGUUUUAUGUUAUGCUUACACUCCAUCAUGGUGGUGUUCGUAUAAGCCUAUACUUCCAGUACAUCCUGAGUUAAUAGGCAUUUGUGGACUUGGCUGGGAAUGAAAACACCAUGCAUAGCGUUGUUGGCAGAGAGGGGGGCAGGAGUUCUAAACAGCUGACUUAGAAAUGAGCUUAUGAAACAAAAUUCAUUUUAAAGUUGGAGAUUGAGACUGCUAUUGUUCUUCCCAUAGAUACUUUAAAUAGGCUUUUAUUAUUAUCUUGUUUUUACAUAACCUGUAUAUGUCCCUAUAUCCCUCCUGCAUCUCUCUCCCACAGAGUCAUCCUUUAGAACAAAGAAUUUUUAAGAAGAAAAAGUGAAAGAGAAAAAAAACAGUCAGCAAAACUGAUAAAUAUAUUCAGAAAAAAAUUGCAGUAUUCCACACCCAUGACCCUAAGCUUUGCAAAGGAGGGAGGUGUGUUGCCUUCUCAUAUCUCUUCUUUGGAGCCAAGCCUGUUCCUUGUCACUUACAUUGCUUUGUGGUUGGCUUUUUCCGUUUCCAUUGUGGUCAGCAUCUUGUAGAUUGUCUCCCUAGCCCAGCUUACUUCACUUUAUUGUUUCAUCUAGGUCUUCCCAUGCUUCUCUGUACUCAUCACGUUUAUUAUUUUUUAUAACAUAGUAAUUUUUAAAAAUAAAAUUUAAUUAUUUUCUUCUUGUUUUUACA